GUGAGGAAUAUUGCGCAAUGGAGGCAACUCUGACGCAGCCAUGCCGCGUGCAGGAAGAAGGCGCUACGCGUUGUAAACUGCUUUUAACCGGGAAGAAACCCCAGGACGUGUCCUGGGUUGACGGUACCGGAGGAAUAAGCACCGGCUAACUUCGUGCCAGCAGCCGCGGUAAUACGAAGGGUGCAAGCGUUAUCCGGAUUCAUUGGGUUUAAAGGGUGCGUAGGCGGAGCGUUAAGUCAGUGGUGAAAUCCUGCAGCUUAACUGUAGACUUGCCAUUGAUACUGGCGCUCUUGAGUGCGCUUGAAGUGGGCGGAAUGUGCCGUGUAGCGGUGAAAUGCUUAGAUAUGGCACAGAACACCAAUUGCGAAGGCAGCUCACUAAGGCGAUACUGACGCUGAGGCACGAAAGCGUGGGGAUCGAACAGGAUUAGAAACCCCUGUAGUCC
rnacentral:rRNA from 1 species